CUUCACACGCACAGGGCGCGCUGAAUAUCGCACCGGUUUUCUUUUCUUUUCUCCUCUCUCUCUCUCUUUCUCUCUCUCAAGGGCUUUCAAUUAUCUCCGCAAUUUCGUCAUCUCCGAUCUCGAUUCCAUUCCCAAUUUAGGGUUUUCUUGAUGCUGCAUCUCUGCAUCUCGAAUUCCUUCCAUGUCUCGCCGCUUGGGGCUCUGCCAAGAUCCGUGACUGCAGAAAUUCCUGUUGCUUUUCCGAUUGGCGUUGGCUCGUGGCUUUUUUGAUGGUUCAAGGACCUAUUCUGGUUGUUUCCGGUAUCAUUAUUUGAAUUUUAUUUUUUUUGAGAUAUGGAUGUGGAUUUCCAUGGCGAUGUGGCGCGUCUCGAUGCUGAACUCCUGCAGCUCCCGGAGCUGUCUCCUCUGGCCAUUAAGUCCAACCCUUACAUUGCCGAGAAGCUAUUUGAUCAGUGGCUUUCGCUUCCGGAGACCAAUUCAUUGGUAAAAUCCUUGCUCAAUAGUGCUAAAGGAGGAGGUCUUCAGAAUGUUUCUGGAACGACAUCUAGCUCUAAUGCUGCAGCUGGCAACACAUUGCCAUCAAUGUUUCCUGCAGGGAGUACACCACCACUUUCACCGAGAAGUUCAACUGGUUCUCCUCGGAUCUUUAAACAAAGGGCUGGCCCGUCUGCUUUAGGUUCUCCUUUGAAAUUUGUUAAUGAGCCUGUGAAGGAGCUUAUACCUCAGUUCUAUUUCCAAGAUGGCCGUCCACCAGCUAAUGAAUUGAAAGAGCGGUGUUUGUUUAGAAUCAAUCAAUUCUUUUAUGGUCAUGCAGAUGGACUCCAGAUUCAUGAAUUUAAACCUGUAACUAAAGAAAUUUGCAAGCUCCCAUCAUUUGCCUCUUCGGCUCUUUUUAGAAAGAUUGAUGCCAAUGGCACUGGAACUGUGACAAGGGACGCUUUUGUUGAUUUCUGGGUCAAUGGGAACAUUUUGACAACAGAUACAGCAACACAAUUAUACACAGUUUUAAAGCAGCCUGAUUCCAAAUAUUUGACCCAGGAUGACUUCAAACCUCUGCUUCAAGAACUGUUGGCAACUCAUCCAGGAUUAGAGUUCCUACAGAGUACACCUGAAUUUCAGGAAAGAUAUGCUGAAACUGUAAUAUACAGAAUAUUUUACCACGUGAAUAGAUUGGGUAACCAUCGUCUUACACUAAGGGAGCUGAAACGGUCAGACUUAAUUGCUGCAAUGCAGCAUGCAGAUGAAGAAGAGGAUAUUAACAAAGUUUUGAGGUACUUCUCCUAUGAACAUUUUUACGUUAUAUAUUGCAAGUUUUGGGAGCUGGAUAUGGAUCAUGAUUUUAUAAUUGACAAAGAGAGCCUCAUUAGAUACGGCAAUCACGCACUUACCUACAGGAUUGUUGAUAGAAUAUUUUCUCAGGUUCCCAGAAAGUUCACCAGUAAGGUUGAAGGAAAGAUGGGUUAUGAGGAUUUUGUCUAUUUCAUACUAUCCGAGGAGGAUAAAACAUCUGAACCUAGUCUUGAGUAUUGGUUCAAAUGCAUAGAUUUGGAUGGAAAUGGAUAUAUUACGAGGAAUGAAAUGCAAUUCUUUUAUGAAGAGCAGUUACACAGAAUGGAAUGCAUGGCCCAAGAGCCUGUGCUUUUUGAAGAUAUAUUGUGUCAAAUAGUUGACAUGAUCAAUCCACAGGAUCAGAGUUACUUCACAGUACAGGAUUUCAAAAGAAGCAAACUUUCAGGCAGCGUAUUAAAUAUUCUUUUUAAUCUUAACAAGUUUAUGGCCUUUGAGACUCGUGAUCCAUUUCUAAUUCGCCAGGAGCGAGAGAACCCGCAUUUGACAGAGUGGGAUCGCUUUGCCCACAGAGAAUACAUUAGGCUUUCGAUGGAGGAAGAUGCAGACGAUGCCUCCAAUGGAAGUGCAGAUGUUUGGGAUGAAUCACUGGAGGCUCCUUUUUGACCUAGAGAUGGCAAGGGGUUGUUAGUUUUAACUUUCUGGAAGUGUAAGAGAAUACAAGGUAGAGCAACAGUACAUAGCGACACGCCUUUGUGAUCAUUUGGUUCAGUGGUAUAUAGCGUCAAAUGACCACACCUAAAAGCUUUAGGCGAGAUGGGCAUUCAAUAUAGUAUUAGAGCAGGAUGUCCCUUGACUUUGCACAUGAGGGGGUGGGUGUGUUGGUUGACAUAUAAUGUCUCUACAAACUUAAAUUUUUAGAUUUCUACAGUCAAUUCUGUUUCCACCAUGCUGCUGCAUCAGAAGAAGCAUUAAAGUUGAAGCCGCAAUUGUCAUUUGGUACAAACUGCUGAAUGGUUGGUUAUUCAGCAGUGUUUGUCCCAAGUCAAGUGAUGAUAUAAAUUUGCAAUGGAGGGUAGGGUAGGGUAGGGGAGGAGGGUGUACAGAGAUUUUGAGCUUUAUUGCUUACCUUUCACACACAACACAACACAACACAGGACUAACUGUUAAAUUCAUGCCAAGAGUGGCAUUUGCCAUUUGCAAAAGGAUUUAACAAGUUUGCGCCAACCAGCGGGCAUCGUGUGACAUCGUCUGCCCUGACCUGACCUCCGCAUGUAAGAGAAAAAUAUUUUUAUUAAUUAUUUCUGUAGUCAAUAUCAGCUACUAGUUUUUUUGUU